CCUACGGGAGGCAGCAGUAAGGAAUAUUGGUCAAUGGACGAAAGUCUGAACCAGCCAUGCCGCGUGAAGGAUGAAGGCCCUCUGGGUUGUAAACUUCUUUUAUAGGGGACGAAAAAAGGGCAUUCUUGCUCACUUGACGGUACCCUAGGAAUAAGCACCGGCUAACUCCGUGCCAGCAGCCGCGGUAAUACGGAGGGUGCAAGCGUUAUCCGGAUUUACUGGGUUUAAAGGGUGCGUAGGUGGGUUGGUAAGUCAGCGGUGAAAUCUUCGAGCUUAACUCGGAAACUGCCAUUGAUACUAUCAAUCUUGAAUCAUCUAGAGGUAAGCGGAAUAUGUCAUGUAGCGGUGAAAUGCUUAGAUAUGACAUAGAACACCAAUUGCGAAGGCAGCUUACUAUGGAUGUAUUGACACUGAGGCACGAAAGCGUGGGGAUCAAACAGGAUUAGAUACCCUGGUAGUCCACGCCCUAAACCUAUGGAUACUCGACAUUUGCGAUAUACUGUAAGUGUUNUGNGNGAAGANAUAAGUAUCCACCUCGGAGAGAGCGCGAGAGUAGAACGUACAAUAGAGUUAGAGGACGUGAGAGUUGCGACGGACGACGACGAGGGAGGAGG
rnacentral:rRNA from 1 species